UACGUAGGUGGCAAGCGUUGUCCGGAAUUACUGGGCGUAAAGGAUGUGUAGGUGGAUAUUUAAGUGAGAUGUGAAAUCCCCGGGCUUAACCUGGGGGCUGCAUUUCAAACUGGGUAUCUAGAGUGCAGGAGAGGAAAGCGGAAUUCCUAGUGUAGCGGUGAAAUGCGUAGAUAUUAGGAAGAACAUCAGUGGCGAAGGCGGCUUUCUGGACUGUAACUGACACUGAGACAUGAAAGCGUGGGGAGCAAACAGG
rnacentral:rRNA from 1 species